rnacentral:rRNA from 1 species
UACGUAGGUGGCAAGCGUUGUCCGGAAUUACUGGGCGUAAAGCGCACGUAGGCGGAUAUUUAAGUCAGGGGUGAAAUCCCGGGGCUCAACCCCGGAACUGCCUUUGAUACUGGGUAUCUCGAGUCCGAGAGAGGUGAGUGGAAUUCCGAGUGUAGAGGUGAAAUUCGUAGAUAUUCGGAGGAACACCAGUGGCGAAGGGCGGCUCACUGGCUCGGUACUGACGCUGAGGUGCGAAAGCGUGGGGAGCAAACAGG